AGUGAACGCUGGCGGUAGGCCUAACACAUGCAAGUCGAACGGCAGCACAGUAAGAGCUUGCUCUUACGGGUGGCGAGUGGCGGACGGGUGAGGAAUACAUCGGAAUCUACUUUUUCGUGGGGGAUAACGUAGGGAAACUUACGCUAAUACCGCAUACGACCUACGGGUGAAAGCAGGGGAUCUUCGGACCUUGCGCGAUUGAAUGAGCCGAUGUCGGAUUAGCUAGUUGGCGGGGUAAAGGCCCACCAAGGCGACGAUCCGUAGCUGGUCUUAGAGGAUGAUCAGCCAAACUGGAACUGAGACACGGUCCAGACUCCUACGGGAGGCAGCAGUGGGGAAUAUUGGACAAUGGGCGCAAGCCUGAUCCAGCCAUACCGCGUGGGUGAAGAAGGCCUUCGGGUUGUAAAGCCCUUUUGUUGGGAAAGAAAAGCAGCAGGUUAAUACCCCGCUGUUCUGACGGUACCCAAAGAAUAAGCACCGGCUAACUUCGUG
rnacentral:rRNA from 1 species